rnacentral:rRNA from 1 species
CCUACGGGGGGCAGCAGUGGGGAAUAUUGGACAAUGGGGGCAACCCUGAUCCAGCCAUGCCGCGUGUGUGAAGAAGGCCCUCGGGUUGUAAUGCACUUUCAGUGAGGAAGAACGCCUGGUGGUUAAUACCCAUCAGGAAAGACAUCACUCACAGAAGAAGCACCGGCUAACUCCGUGCCAGCAGCCGCGGUAAUACGGAGGGUGCGAGCGUUAAUCGGAAUUACUGGGCGUAAAGCGCGCGUAGGUGGCUUGAUAAGCCGGUUGUGAAAGCCCCGGGCUCAACCUGGGAACGGCAUCCGGAACUGUCAAGCUAGAGUGCAGGAGAGGAAGGUAGAAUUCCCGGUGUAGCGGUGAAAUGCGUAGAGAUCGGGAGGAAUACCAGUGGCGAAGGCGACCUUCUGGACUGACACUGACACUGAGGUGCGAAAGCGUGGGUAGCAAACAGGAUUAGAUACCCCAGUAGUC